UUUCCUAUAAGAAGGAAGUAAAUCCAUGGGUUUCUUCAAUCCAAUUCAUUUUCUGUUUGUUCAUCCUUUGAUUUCUUCAUCAAAAUCAAUUUGUUGUUGCGUCCAUGGCGUUGAGGUGCAGGAAAAGUGAUGAGGUAGUUGAAGUUCUUAAUCGUGAAGAACGCCUGGUUAUGGCUAAAACUCACAAACGGAGGUGGAAGAUGGCCUUUGCCGCCAUUUAUUUCACUAGAGCUCUCAUCUCUCUGACGAGGAAGGUCACUGACCGUAAAUCCGGCGCUCUUUUGCCGUCACUUUCGUUUGUUACUCUUGAUGUGCAGGUUAAUGAUGAUAGUACGGAUUCUGGCGAGCAGCCGUGCAUGGCAGGCUUUUUCGGCGUAGAUCAGAAAGUUCUAAGUGAGAUGGUGAGGGAGAAGGACUGUGAGUGUUUGAAUCGAUUUGGAGGCGUUGAUGGACUGGCCAAUCUUCUUAAAACUGAUCCACAUGACGGAAUUUGUGCAACUCAGGAUGAUCUAACUUACAGAACAAACGCUUUUGGAACAAAUACUUACUCGAAGCGCCACGGCAAAAGCUUCUUUAGUUACGUGAUCGAAGCGUUUAACGAUACAACAAUAAUCAUUCUAUUGAUCUGUGCAGUGCUUUCUUUGGGAUUUGGUAUCAAACAACACGGUUGGGAUGAUGGAUGGUACGACGGUGGCAGCAUUGUCAUCGCCAUAUUUCUGGUGGUCGUCGUUUCCGCCGCGAGCAACUUCAAGCAAUCGCGACAGUUCGAGAAGCUUUCAAACGAGAGAGAUGAUAUAAAAAUCGAGGUCACCAGAGCCGGUCGACGCAAAUCAGUAUCGAUAUUCGAACUCCUUGUCGGAGACAUCGUGUAUUUGAAGAUCGGAGAUCAGAUUCCCGCGGACGGAGUGUUCCUCGAUGGACAUUCGCUGAAGAUCGACGAAUCGAGCAUGACUGGAGAGAGCGAACACGCUGAAGUAAAUCACGGAAUUAAUCCAUUUCUGCUAUCAGGAACCAAAGUGAACGAUGGAUUUGGUGUGAUGAUGGUGACUUCUGUGGGAAUGAACACAGCCUGGGGAGAAAUGAUGAGUUCAAUUAGAAGGGAAAUUAAUGAGGAAACUCCAUUGCAAGGUCGUCUGAACAAGAUGACCGCCAUUAUCGGGAAGCUAGGACUGACGGUCGCCGUGGUGGUGCUUCUUGUUCUGCUGGUUCGCUAUUUCACUGGUAGCACCGGCGAGUUCAAUGGAAGCAAGACGAGGUUCGAUGAUGUUAUGAAUGCAGUUCUUGGCAUGGUUGCGGCGGCUGUUACAAUCGUUGUGGUGGCGAUUCCGGAAGGUUUGCCUCUAGCUGUUACUUUAACUUUAGCUUACUCCAUGAAAAAGAUGAUGGCGGAUAAUGCAAUGGUUCGGAAACUCUCUGCUUGUGAGACCCUGGGCUCAGCAACCACAAUUUGUACUGAUAAAACUGGUACCCUUACUUUGAAUCAGAUGAAAGUUACAGAGUUUUGGAUUGGGGAAGAUGAAAUUAUGAACAUAGAUUAUUCCAAUUCAAGGAUUAGCAGUAAGGUUGUUGAAUUACUGCACCAAGCAGUUGGAUUGAACACAACUGGUAGUAUUCAAACACCAGCUUCUUCAUUGCCUCUAGAAACCUUCGGGAGUCCGACCGAGAAAGCGAUACUUUCAUGGGCGGCAUUCGACCUGGAUUUGAACUUGGAUGAACUGAAGAAACAACAUGAGAUAAUCCUGGUAGAGACUUUCAGUUCAGAGAAGAAGAGAAGUGGAGUUUCGACACGACGACACGGGACGAGGCUUGUUAAUACACACUGGAAAGGAGCAGCAGAGAUAAUAUUGGCUAUGUGUUCAUAUUACUAUGAGAAACAAGGAACAGCUAGAGCCAUUGAUGGUGAAAUGAGAAGACAAUUGACUGAAAUAAUCACAGCCAUGGCAGAAAAAAGUCUCCGAUGCAUAGCCUUUGCUCACAAGUCGAAUGAAGACGACGAUAUCCGAGACGUUCCUGCAAAACUCGACGAAUCGGAAUUGACAUUACUCGGAAUAGUUGGUUUGAAGGAUCCUUGCAGGGCAGGAGUUAGAGAAGCUGUGGAAUCAUGUAGAGCUGCUGGAGUGAGUAUCAAAAUGGUGACGGGUGAUAAUCUGCACACAGCAACAGCCAUAGCAAUUGAAUGUGGAAUACUAAAUCCCGAUGACGACGCUACAAACAGCGAAGUAGUUGUGGAGGGCGUAAAAUUUAGAAACUACACACCUGAGGAGAGGCUAGAAAAGAUUGGGAACAUCCGAGUGAUGGCUAGAUCUUCCCCAUUUGACAAGCUUCUAAUGGUACAGUGCUUGAAGAAUCAAGGCCAUGUGGUGGCAGUCACCGGGGAUGGAACAAAUGAUGCCCCAGCUCUUCACGAGGCUGACAUUGGCCUUUCCAUGGGAAUUCAAGGAACUGAAGUGGCAAAGGAGAGCUCCGACAUCGUCAUCUUAGACGAUAACUUUACAUCGGUCGUCACCGUCUUGAAAUGGGGAAGAUGUGUUUACAACAACAUUCAAAAAUUCAUUCAAUUUCAGCUCACUGUGAACAUUGCAGCAUUAGUCAUCAACUUCAUCGCCGCUGUCUCGUCCGGUAAAGUCCCACUAACAGCGGUACAGCUACUAUGGGUGAAUCUCAUCAUGGACACCAUGGGAGCUUUAGCCUUAGCUACUGAGCUACCCACCAACGAUCUCAUGACGAAAACGCCGGUCGGUCGAUCCGAUCCAUUAGUAACGAAGAUCAUGUGGAGGAAUCUCAUAACUCAGGCUGUGUAUCAAGUGACAGUCUUGCUGGUUUUGGAAUUUAAAGGAAGUUCCAUCUUCAAUGUCAAUGAGAAGGUUAAGAGCACACUGAUCUUCAACACUUUUGUUCUAUGCCAAAUCUUCAAUGAGUUCAAUGCAAGGAAGCUGGAGAAGAAGAACAUAUUUGAAGGGCUACACAAAAGCAAGCUGUUUUUGGCAAUAAUUGUGAUAACCUUAGCUUUUCAAGUGGUAAUGGUUGAGGUUUUGGGAAGGUUUGCUAAUACUGAGAGGUUGAAUUGGGGCCAGUGGGGGGCAUGUCUUGGCAUAGCAGCUUUGUCUUGGCCAAUUGGAUGGCUAUCCAAGUUGAUACCAGUUUCAGCCCUGCAGUUUCCAAGGGGAAGAAACUCAGCACAAUAAAUCUUCCAUCAACUCAAUCAGACUUCUUAAACUGGCUGACGGGUUGAGUAUCCAAAUACCGAAGUGAAACUGGGAAAUCAAGGAAUCGAGAGUGAAAAGAAUGGCAGAGGGGCAAGGAGUUCAGAUUCCCAGAGUGCAACUUGGAAGUCAGGGACUUCAG